CUUUAUCCUUCUUUUAGAGCUGAAACCUGUGUCAGUGUCCACAGUGUUUGAAUAGUCUGGUUUUAAUAGAAACAUGAAAACGCCAUAUGGAGCCAGACAACCAUUUCCUUCCUUCAGUGUGUUUGACUUGAAGAAACAGUAGCCUGGAUUGGUCCUUGAUAUGUAAUUACUUCAUGAAGCACUGUACACAGGACUACAGCACCAUUAGCCAAGCCUCCCAGCCAAGGAA